CCAUGCAGUGGCGGCAGUUUACGCAAUAGUAUUUACGUAUGCGCUGGUUAUGCGCUUGUUGAAUGUGUCUGACCAGCAAGCAAUUCUCGUUGGCGUGUUCAUGCCGGCUCCUGUCUUUAUCAUGUUUUUCCAACUCAUUCCGCUCACUUUUACGGCAUAUAUUAUGAUCGUCGUGUCUAUCGUAUUCUCUUUUUAUGGUAUCACACUGGGUUUGGCUUUCAGUAAGAUCAGUCGAUUAGUGGAAGAGCAGUUUCGACAGUAUUGCGAAGGGAUUAUAGCAGUCACAGAACUCAAGAAAGAUCUACGAAGUUGCCGGGAAAGACAUUUAGAAUUGUCAGAUUUUGUUUUUCCAACUGGAUAAUGUUUUUUCGCCGGUGUUCCUUAUUGGAUUGGCCGGUAACAGCGUAGCCCUAGUGGUUCUCACGCACACUGUUACCGGUAGUUCGUCUUUUAACUUCGGGUAUCUUUUUCGUUAUGAUUGGGUCAAUGUUAUGUAUUUCAUAAUGGCGGCAGUUGGAAGUUUCAUCGCUGUACUGAUACCCUUAAUAAUUGCCAGCUAUACUCAUAUUCAGGCGCGAUCUAUUGUCGACAUCUUCGCCAUUAUUCUGGAACGACGGGCGGAAAAAGACGAAUACGAUGCGUGGCAGUUAAACGACACUAUACAGAGACUGCGUGAAAAGCCGGUCCGGUUCACCGUCUGGAAGCUUUUAGGCAUAAACACAGAUUUUAUAGUAACAAUGUUGGGAAUGGUCAUUACGUAUAUUGUGCUUUUGCGCGAGUUGACCGGGCGCGAUGAGAGAGUAUGCAGCUGUCAAUGGAGAGGAUUUCCGGUCAAUGCAUCUUUGGCUUGGCGCCUGUGAUGAGAUGAAUAAUUAUGUAUCGCGGCUUCGCAAGGAUGGAGACGGUUAAGGGCGUAUACACCUGGACCGAUGGGAGACAGGUUUAACCCAAGGAUAGCCAUGCUAGAACGACAAUACUGAGCUCGGAAACGAAAAUUUCAUGUUCCAGCUUCGUUCGGUGCUAGCAGAUGUCAGGGUCUACUGAAUUUUGAAUGGUGCUCUUUUAAAUUUGCAGUGUGCAGUGCUGUACUGUCUGUACUGUACUGCGUUAUAUAAUGUACUUUGCCUGGAACUAUGCAAUAC